UACAGAGGGUGCGAGCGUUGUCCGGAAUUACUGGGCGUAAAGGGCGCGUAGGCGGGCCGGCCAGUCAGGGGUGAAAGCCCACGGCUCAACCGUGGAAGUGCCUUUGAUACUGCCGGUCUUGAGGGAGGUAGGGGCGUGCGGAACUUCCGGUGGAGCGGUGAAAUUCGUAGAUAUUAGGAAGAACACCGGUGGCGAAGGCGGCCCACUGGAUCGGUACUGACGCUGAGACGCGAAAGCGUGGGGAGCAAACAGG
rnacentral:rRNA from 1 species